rnacentral:misc_RNA from 1 species
UGGUUCUGGCAUCGAUGAAGAACGCAGCGAAAUGCGAUAAGUAAUGUGAAUUGCAGAAUUCAGUGAAUCAUCGAAUUUUUGAACGCAUAUUGCACCUUAGAGUAUUCUUUAAGGUAUACCUGUUCGAGCGUCGUUUAAAAUCAUGAAGCUUUUGCUUUUUGUUGAAUUUUGAUAUGUUUCUCAGUAUCAAUCUUCCAAACUUAUUGGCAUCUUUAUACUUUUGUUGACCAAUUGACAUAUGAAAAAUGUUUUAUUGUGUUUGAAAGACUUUUGUCUUAGGACUCUUUUGUCUUAGAAAGAAUAAAUGCCUUAAUAAACUACAAAGUUUCGACCUCGAAUCAAGUAAGACUACCCGCUGA